ACCCGGCUCAUGAGUCCCAAAUAGGACGAAACGCGCGUCCUGGAU
rfam:Schistosoma mansoni strain Puerto Rico chromosome 1, complete genome